rnacentral:rRNA from 1 species
GAUGAACGCUGGCGGCGUGCCUAAUACAUGCAAGUCGAGCGAACGGACGAGAAGCUUGCUUUUCUGAUGUUAUCGGCGGGCGGGUGAGUAACACGUGGAUAACCUACCUAUAAGACUGGGAUAACUUCGGGAAACCGGAGCUAAUAUCGGAUAAUAUUUUGAACCGCAUGGUUCAAAAGUGAAAGACGGUCUUGCUGUCACUUAUAGAUGGAUCCGCGCUGCAUUAGCUAGUUGGUAAGGUAACGGCUUACCAAGGCAACGAUGCAUAGCCGACCUGAGAGGGUGAUCGGCCACACUGGAACUGAGACACGGUCCAGACUCCUACGGGAGGCAGCAGUAGGGAAUCUUCCGCAAUGGGCGAAAGCCUGACGGAGCAACGCCGCGUGAGUGAUGAAGGUCUUCGGAUCGUAAAACUCUGUUAUUAGGGAAGAACAUAUGUGUAAGUAACUGUGCACAUCUUGACGGUACCUAAUCAGAAAGCCACGGCUAACUACGUG